rnacentral:rRNA from 1 species
GACGAACGUUGGCGGCGUGCUUAAUACAUGCAAGUCAACUGAAGCAGUGGUAGCAAUAUCGCUGUGGAGGUGGCGCACGGGUGAGUAACACGUAGGUAAUCUGCCUCCAGGUCUGGCAUAACUCCGGGAAACCGGGGCUAAUAGCAGAUGAUGCAGCGGCUCGACAUCGAGACAGUUGUUAAAGCUAUGGCGCCUGAAGAUGAGCCUGCGUCUGAUUAGCUAGUUGGCGGGGUAACGGCCCACCAAGGCAACGAUCAGUAGCUGGUCUGAGAGGAUGAUCAGCCACACUGGAACUGAGACACGGUCCAGACUCCUACGGGAGGCAGCAGUAAGGAAUAUUGCUCAAUGGGAGAAAUCCUGAAGCAGCAACGCCGCGUGAGGGACGAAGGGCUUUUGCUUGUAAACCUCUGUAGUGAGAGAAAAAAAUCCCAAUCUUUGGGACAUGAUGGUAGCUCAAAAGUAAGCCCCGGCUAACUACGUG